GUGUCAGCAGCCGCGGUAAGACAAACCGUGCGAACGUUGUUCGGAAUCACUGGGCUUAAAGGGCGCGUAGGCGGUCUGUCAAGUCAGGGGUGAAAUCUUUCGGCUUAACCGGAAAACAGCUUUUGAUACUGGCAGGCUGGAGGGAGGUAGGGGCAUGUGGAACUUCCGGUGGAGCGGUGAAAUGCGUUGAUAUCGGAAGGAACGCCGGUGGCGAAAGCGACGUGCUGGACCUCUUCUGACGCUGAGGCGCGAAAGCUAGGGGAGCGAACGGGAUUAGAUACCCCUGUAGUCC
rnacentral:rRNA from 1 species